rnacentral:rRNA from 1 species
UGAGGAAUAUUGGUCAAUGGGCGAGAGCCUGAACCAGCCAUCCCGCGUGAAGGAAGAAGGCGCUAUGCGUUGUAAACUUCUUUUUCAGGGGGAUAAAAUAUUGUAUGAAUACGAUACUGAAGGUACCCUGAGAAUAAGCAUCGGCUAACUCCGUGCCAGCAGCCGCGGUAAUACGGAGGAUGCGAGCGUUAUCCGGAUUUAUUGGGUUUAAAGGGUGCGUAGGCGGAAUAAUAAGUCAGUGGUGAAACCCUGCAGCUUAACUGUAGACUUGCCAUUGAUACUGUUUUUCUUGAGUAUGGUCAAGGCAGGCGGAAUGUGUAAUGUAGCGGUGAAAUGCUUAGAUAUUACACAGAACACCGAUAGCGAAGGCAGCUUGCUGGGCCGUUACUGACGCUGAUGCACGAAAGCGUGGGGAUCGAACAG